AUUGAACGCUGGCGGCAGGCCUAACACAUGCAAGUCGAACGAGUGGCGGACGGGUGAGUAAUGUCUGGGAAACUGCCCGAUGGAGGGGGAUAACUACUGGAAACGGUAGCUAAUACCGCAUACCAUCUGAUGUGCCCAGAUGGGAUUAGCUAGUUGGUGGGGUAACGGCUCACCUAGGCGACGAUCCCUAGCUUGUCUGAGAGGUUGACCAGCCACACUGGAACUGGGAAACGGUCCAGACUCCUACGGGAGGCAGCAGUAGGGAAUCUUGCGCAAUGGGCGCAAGCCUGACGAAGCAACGCCGCGUGAGUGAUGAAGGCCUUCGGAUCGUAAAACUCUUUCAGUAGGGAGGCGUUACCCGCAGAAAAAGCAACGGCUAACUACGUGCCAGCAGCCGCGGUAAUAC
rnacentral:rRNA from 1 species